UAGUGGCGAACGGGUGAGUAACACGUGAGUAACCUGCCCUUAACUCUGGGAUAAGCCUGGGAAACUGGGUCUAAUACCGGAUAUGACUCCUCAUCGCAUGGUGGGGGGUGGAAAGCUUUAUUGUGGUUUUGGAUGGACUCGCGGCCUAUCAGCUUGUUGGUGAGGUAAUGGCUCACCAAGGCGACGACGGGUAGCCGGCCUGAGAGGGUGACCGGCCACACUGGGACUGAGACACGGCCCAGACUCCUACGGGAGGCAGCAGUGGGGAAUAUUGCACAAUGGGCGAAAGCCUGAUGCAGCGACGCCGCGUGAGGGAUGACGGCCUUCGGGUUGUAAACCUCUUUCAGUAGGGAAGAAGCGAAAGUGACGGUACCUGCAGAAGAAGCGCCGGCUAACUACGUGCCAGCAGCCGCGGUAAUACGUAGGGCGCAAGCGUUAUCCGGAAUUAUUGGGCGUAAAGAGCUCGUAGGCGGUUUGUCGCGUCUGCCGUGAAAGUCCGGGGCUCAACUCCGGAUCUGCGGUGGGUACGGGCAGACUAGAGUGAUGUAGGGGAGACUGGAAUUCCUGGUGUAGCGGUGAAAUGCGCAGAUAUCAGGAGGAACACCGAUGGCGAAGGCAGGUCUCUGGGCAUUAACUGACGCUGAGGAGCGAAAGCAUGGGGAGCGAACAGGAUUAGAUACCCUGGUAGUCCAUGCCGUAAACGUUGGGCACUAGGUGUGGGGGACAUUCCACGUUUUCCGCGCCGUAGCUAACGCAUUAAGUGCCCCGCCUGGGGAGUACGGCCGCAAGGCUAAAACUCAAAGGAAUUGACGGGGGCCCGCACAAGCGGCGGAGCAUGCGGAUUAAUUCGAUGCAACGCGAAGAACCUUACCAAGGCUUGACAUGAACCGGUAAUACCUGGAAACAGGUGCCCCGCUUGCGGUCGGUUUACAGGUGGUGCAUGGUUGUCGUCAGCUCGUGUCGUGAGAUGUUGGGUUAAGUCCCGCAACGAGCGCAACCCUCGUUCUAUGUUGCCAGCGCGUUAUGGCGGGGACUCAUAGGAGACUGCCGGGGUCAACUCGGAGGAAGGUGGGGACGACGUCAAAUCAUCAUGCCCCUUAUGUCUUGGGCUUCACGCAUGCUACAAUGGCCGGUACAAAGGGUUGCGAUACUGUGAGGUGGAGCUAAUCCCAAAAAGCCGGUCUCAGUUCGGAUUGGGGUCUGCAACUCGACCCCAUGAAGUCGGAGUCGCUAGUAAUCGCAGAUCAGCAACGCUGCGGUGAAUACGUUCCCGGGCCUUGUACACACCGCCCGUCAAGUCACGAAAGUUGGUAAC
rnacentral:rRNA from 1 species